GUUCCUUGGGGGAAAGUUGGGAGUUCCUUGGGUGUUGGGAGUCUCUUGGGUGUUCCUUGGGUGAAGAUUUGGGAGUCUCUUGGGUGUUCUCUGGUUGAAGGUUGGGUGUUCCUUGGGUGAAGGUUGGGUGUUCCUUGGGUGCUCCUUGGGUGAAGAUUUGGGAGUCUCUUGGGUGUUCUCUGGUUGAAGGUUGGGUGUUCCUUGGGUGUUCCUUGGGUGAAGAUUUGGGAGUUCCUUGGGGGAAGGUUGGGAGUUCCUUGGGUGUUCCUUGGGGGGGAAGGUUGGGAGUUCCUUGGGUGUUCCUUGGGUGAAGAUUUGGGAAUUCUUUGAGUGUUCUUUGGGUGAAGAUUUGGAAGUUCCUUGGGUGUUCCUUGGGGGAAGAUUUGGGUGUUCCUUGGGUGCUCCUUGGGUGUAGAUUUGAGAGUCUCUUGGGUGUUCCUUGGGUGAAGAUUUGGGAGUCUCUUGGGUGUUCUCUGGUUGAAGGUUGGGUGUUCCUCGGACACUCCUUGGGUGAAGGUUGGGAGUUCCUUGGGUGUUCCUUGGGGGAAGAUUUGGGAGUUCCUUGGGUGAAGAUUUGGGAGUUCUUUGGGUACCCCUUGGGUGUUCCUUGGGGGAAGGUUGGGUGAAGGUUGGGUGAAUGUUGGGUGAAUGUUGGGUGAACAUUGGAUGAACUUGGGAUGAAAGUUGGACGAACGCUGAGUUACGUUUGAGUGAGUGUUGGGUGAAUGUUGGUGAAUUUUGGGAUGAAUUUUGGGUGAAUUUGGGAUGAAUUUUGGUUGAAUUUUGGGUGCAUUUUUGGCGAAGGUUGGGUGAAUUUUGGAUGAAUUUUGGGUGAAUGUUGGGUGAAUUCUGGGUGCCUUUUGAGUGACUUUUGGGUGACUUUUGGAUGACUUCGGGGUGAAGGUUGGGUGGGCAGCCCCAGGGGGUGCCUGGCCGGUGCUGGGGUGAUACCGGCUC